ensembl:snRNA U6 U6 spliceosomal RNA
GUACUCACUGAGGCAACAUAGGUACUAAAAUUGGAAUGAUACAGAGAUGGUUAGCAUGGCCCCUGAGUAAGGACUACAGGCAUAUUUAUGAAAUAUUCUAUAUUAAA